GGGAAAAGCUGAAAGGGGUUAAACGCUAAAAAGGAACCGAUGCUCCGACCUCCUCUUCUGCUCCGCCUCCCGACCUCGGAUUCGUCGCCGUCGUCUUCCAGCUUUUUCAGGAAGAGGCCAAUUUAAAAGCUAAGAGCAUGAAUGAAGAUGAUAGAUCCAAGAUAUGCUGAGCUGCUCAUAUCUUGGACUGAUGCUGGCUGAAGUGUACGUUUCGUCCAGCAAAUAGGAAGCCAAACCAUGACAGAGAAAAGCUGUCUCAGCAAGAAAACAUGAGAGACUGUUGUACUCCAUCUCCAGUUGUAAACGUCCGUAGUGAGAAAUAAAUGAGAAAAUUAAAGAUGAUGCAGCAGGUUUUUCUAUGCAAACAAGAAACAGCAGUGGAAUCUCAUGCUAUUUAUUUUGGUAUGUGUUGUGGCAAAACACUGGACCUGUGAUGAUAUUUGAUGCGGCAUGUGGAUCCAUGUGGGAUGGAUUUGAUCAUUACCAACUCAAUCGAGGUAUUUGUUUUGUUCUCUUAGAGUAAUAAACAUAAUAUCUUUUGCACUUUGUUUAGGUAGAAUGGCACCCAUGGCUGAUACAAAAGGCAGUGUCAAAAGCCUUUCAACUUCUGCAAUGUUCCUGCAGCAGUGUUCAAUCUCCUAAGCCCUACAAUAUAUGAAAUGCCCUAUAUUCACUACAGAAGCACUCAAGAUUGGGUUGUAUGAGAGGAUGCUUGUGUUAUCUUCACAAGUAUUUUGAUGG